UCCGUAGGCGGGCAAUUAAGUCAGAGGUGAAAUCCCACAGCUCAACUGUGGAACUGCCUUUGAUACUGGUUGUCUUGAGUUACAGUGAAGUAUAUAGAAUAUGUAGUGUAGCGGUGAAAUGCAUAGAUAUUACAUAGAAUACCGAUUGCGAAGGCAGUCUACUAACUGUAUACUGACGCUAAUGGACGAAAGCGUGGGGAGCGAACAGGAUUAGAUACCCUGGUAGUC
rnacentral:rRNA from 1 species